UUUUUCUGUGAAAGUUAAUGAGUCUGCCUAGUAUUUAUCUAAUGAGGGUAAUUACCCACAACUGAAAUUACUUGCUCCAUUUGGGUAAAGACACCUCUCUUGGAGGUGAUGUGCUGCUUUGUCCUGUGCCCAGACCAGCACAGCUUGGAGCCUGCAGGAUGGUUGGGCGUUUCCAAGUACUGGUCUGGAAUUCUCUAUGAAAAUAUUGAGCAAAGCAACUGAUUUUUGAAACAAAACUUGCUGAAUUGAAUCAAUAGUCUGAGAACGUACCAGUACAUCUUGCUGGGAUCCUCCAUGGAUGAUGUCUUUCAAAGGCUCUUCCAUCCUUCCUGGUGAUGAAACCCAGUCUGCAGUGUCCUGCAGCUCUACCAAAGCCACCAGCAUUACUUGUUACCAUGUUUGGCUCAUUUUGGGUGGGGAACUGUUCUGCAACUUGCAGUUCUUGUCUGCAUGUAUGCACUGAUAGACACAGCUUUCUUUUGGAUGGCUUACCAAAACUUUUUGAGAUGAUGAUGAUGCUUUUUGGAAUCCUGUAACAAUUUUAGGCUAAGGCUUUCCACGUUCUCAGAGUCUACGGACAAAUGAACACAAACCACUGGGAGAUGUCCUGCCAGACAGAGAUGAAUAGGACGGCCGGCGGGUGCGCGCUGCUGGGCACAGGCCCAGGCUCAGUGCUCAGGACUACUGCUGACCUA